CCUACGGGAGGCUGCAGUGGGGAAUAUUGGGCAAUGGGCGCAAGCCUGACCCAGCAACGCCGCGUAAAGGAAGAAGGCUUUCGGGUUGUAAACUUCUUUUGACAGGGAAGAGUAGAAGACGGUACCUGCACAGGAAGCACCGGCUAACUCCGUGCCAGCAGCCGCGGUAAUACGGAGGGUGCGACCGUUAAUCGGAAUUACUGGGGGUAAAGCGCUCGUAGGCGGUAUGUCAAGUCAAGGGUGAAAUCCCCGCGCUCAACGGGGGAACUGCCUUUGAAACUGGCAAACUGGAGUGUGUGAGAGGAUAGUGGAAUUCCAGGGGUAGGAGUGAAAUCCGUAGAUAUCUGGAGGAACAUCAGUGGCGAAGGCGACUAUCUGGCACAUAACUGACGCUGAGGAGCGAAAGCGUGGGUAGCAAACAGGAUUAGAUACCCUGGUAGUC
rnacentral:rRNA from 1 species